GUGUCGUGAGGCAUGCUGGAGGUAUCAGAAGUGCGAAUGCUGACAUAAGUAACGAUAAAGCGGGUGAAAAGCCCGCUCGCCGGAAGACCAAGGGUUCCUGUCCAACGUUAAUCGGGGCAGGGUGAGUCGACCCCUAAGGCGAGGCCGAAAGGCGUAGUCGAUGGGAAACGGGUUAAUAUUCCCGUACUUGGUGUUACUGCGAAGGGGGGACGGAGAAGGCUAUGUUGGCCGGGCGACGGUUGUCCCGGUUUAAGCGUGUAGGUGUGUGUUCCAGGUAAAUCCGGUUCACUUUAACACUGAGGCGUGACGACGAGGCACUACGGUGCUGAAGCAACAAAUGCCCUGCUUCCAGGAAAAGCCUCUAAGCAUCAGGUAACAUCAAAUCGUACCCCAAACCGACACAGGUGGUCAGGUAGAGAAUACCAAGGCGCUUGAGAGAACUCGGGUGAAGGAACUAGGCAAAAUGGUGCCGUAACUUCGGGAGAAGGCACGCUGACACGUAGGUGAAGUGAUUUACUCAUGGAGCUGAAGUCAGUCGAAGAUACCAGCUGGCUGCAACUGUUUAUUAAAAACACAGCACUGUGCAAACACGAAAGUGGACGUAUACGGUGUGACGCCUGCCCGGUGCCGGAAGGUUAAUUGAUGGGGUCAGCGCAAGCGAAGCUCCUGAUCGAAGCCCCGGUAAACGGCGGCCGUAACUAUAACGGUCCUAAGGUAGCGAAAUUCCUUGUCGGGUAAGUUCCGACCUGCACGAAUGGCGUAAUGAUGGCCAGGCUGUCUCCACCCGAGACUCAGUGAAAUUGAACUCGCUGUGAAGAUGCAGUGUACCCGCGGCAAGACGGAAAGACCCCGUGAACCUUUACUAUAGCUUGACACUGAACAUUGAGCCUUGAUGUGUAGGAUAGGUGGGAGGCUUUGAAGUGUGGACGCCAGUCUGCAUGGAGCCGACCUUGAAAUACCACCCUUUAAUGUUUGAUGUUCUAACGUGGACCCGUUACCCGGGUUGCGGACAGUGUCUGGUGGGUAGUUUGACUGGGGCGGUCUCCUCCUAAAGAGUAACGGAGGAGCACGAAGGUUGGCUAAUCCUGGUCGGACAUCAGGAGGUUAGUGCAAUGGCAUAAGCCAGCUUGACUGCGAGCGUGACGGCGCGAGCAGGUGCGAAAGCAGGUCAUAGUGAUCCGGUGGUUCUGAAUGGAAGGGCCAUCGCUCAACGGAUAAAAGGUACUCCGGGGAUAACAGGCUGAUACCGCCCAAGAGUUCAUAUCGACGGCGGUGUUUGGCACCUCGAUGUCGGCUCAUCACAUCCUGGGGCUGAAGUAGGUCCCAAGGGUAUGGCUGUUCGCCAUUUAAAGUGGUACGCGAGCUGGGUUUAGAACGUCGUGAGACAGUUCGGUCCCUAUCUGCCGUGGGCGCUGGAGAACUGAGGGGGGCUGCUCCUAGUACGAGAGGACCGGAGUGGACGCAUCACUGGUGUUCGGGUUGUCAUGCCAAUGGCACUGCCCGGUAGCUAAAUGCGGAAGAGAUAAGUGCUGAAAGCAUCUAAGCACGAAACUUGCCCCGA
rnacentral:rRNA from 1 species